CACGUAGGGCGCAAGCGUUGUCCGGAAUUAUUGGGCGUAAAGAGCUCGUAGGCGGUCUGUUGCGUCCGCUGUGAAAACUCGGGGCUUAACCCCGAGCCUGCAGUGGAUACGGGCAGACUAGAGGUAGGUAGGGGAGAAUGGAAUUCCCGGUGUAGCGGUGAAAUGCGUAGAUAUCUGGAGGAACACCGGUGGCGAAGGCGGUUCUCUGGGCAUUACCUGACGCUGAGGAGCGAAAGUGUGGGGAGCGAACAGG
rnacentral:rRNA from 1 species